rnacentral:rRNA from 1 species
GCGCAGCCUGAUCCAGCCAUGCCGCGUGUGUGAAGAAGGCCUUAUGGUUGUAAAGCACUUUAAGCGAGGAGGAGGCUACUUUAGAUAAUACCUAGAGAUAGUGGACGUUACUCGCAGAAUAAGCACCGGCUAACUCUGUGCCAGCAGCCGCGGUAAUACAGAGGGUGCAAGCGUUAAUCGGAUUUACUGGGCGUAAAGCGCGCGUAGGCGGCUAAUUAAGUCAAAUGUGAAAUCCCCGAGCUUAACUUGGGAAUUGCAUUCGAUACUGGUUAGCUAGAGUGUGGGAGAGGAUGGUAGAAUUCCAGGUGUAGCGGUGAAAUGCGUAGAGAUCUGGAGGAAUACCGAUGGCGAAGGCAGCCAUCUGGCCUAACACUGACGCUGAGGUGCGAAAGCAUGGGGAGCAAACAGGAUUAGAUACCCUGGUAGUCCAUGCCGUAAACGAUGUCUACUAGCCGUUGGGGCCUUUGAGGCUUUAGUGGCGCAGCUAACGCGAUAAGUAGACCGCCUGGGGAGUACGGUCGCAAGACUAAAACUCAUAUGAAAUUGACAG